GACGGAAGGUGCAAGCGUUGCUCGGAAUCACUGGGCGUAAAGGGUGCGUAGGUGGCAUGGUAAGUCGGAUGUGAAAUCCCGGGGCUCAACCCCGGAACUGCAUUCGAUACUGCUGCGCUAGAGUACUGGAGAGGAGAUUGGAAUUUACGGUGUAGCAGUGAAAUGCGUAGAUAUCGUAAGGAAGACCAGUGGCGAAGGCGGAUCUCUGGACAGUUACUGACACUGAGGCACGAAGGCCAGGGGAGCAAACGGG
rnacentral:rRNA from 1 species